AACUAAUGCAUGAACUCAAAACUUUAAUCAUCUAAGCUUGUACAUCGAAUGGUAUAAAGGAAGAAAGUUCAAGUCAAGCAAAGCAACAAGGGAAUCAAGAUCGAGGUAAAUCUCAAGUUUAGCUUUCAAGCUUCGCCCGGUUCGAGCACACUUCAAGGCCCGUCCCAUAUUCCGCUACUUUUGUAAAGAAGACAAUGUUUAAUACUUUGGUCGCUUUGUUUAUAUCUAGUACUUAAAAACUUAGUUCGUGUUAUGUAUUUUGAACUUAAUGAUUCUCGUAUGUGU